rnacentral:rRNA from 1 species
AUUGAACGCUGGCGGCAGGCCUAACACAUGCAAGUCGAGCGGAUGAAGGGAGCUUGCUCCUGGAUUCAGCGGCGGACGGGUGAGUAAUGCCUAGGAAUCUGCCUGGUAGUGGGGGAUAACGUCCGGAAACGGGCGCUAAUACCGCAUACGUCCUGAGGGAGAAAGAGGGGGAUCUUCGGACCUCACGCUAUCAGAUGAGCCUAGGUCGGAUUAGCUAGUUGGUGGGGUAAAGGCCUACCAAGGCGACGAUCCGUAACUGGUCUGAGAGGAUGAUCAGUCACACUGGAACUGAGACACGGUCCAGACUCCUACGGGAGGCAGCAGUGGGGAAUAUUGGACAAUGGGCGAAAGCCUGAUCCAGCCAUGCCGCGUGUGUGAAGAAGAUCUUCGGAUUGUAAAGCACUUUAAGUUGGGAGGAAGGGCAGUAAGUUAAUACCUUGCUGUUUUGACGUUACCAACAGAAUAAGCACCGGCUAACUUCGUG